AUUGAGUUAAUUGCUUUGGUAACAGGCGGAAUGUGCCUACUACUGGGAGAGUCUCCAUUGGACUGGUUCUUAUAUAAACAGGGGUUGUCACACGACACGUUCAAUAUGAAUGAAUUUCGGCCGAAGAAACAACGAGAGGCGCUCUGUGCAGCAGCGGGGAGCGGUGAUUCUGGAUUACGCGUACAUACAGACGUGUAGUGUCGACUCGGACACAUGACACGUUCAGUAUUAAUAAACCUAAUUCAAAACAUACAACCAGCGACGCUCUGGUAGCAGAUGGGGAGAACAUCAGGGCUCUGUGGACAGACUCCAGCAUGUCUUCAACUGUGUCGGCAGCGGUCCAACAAAAGCAAAGUUUUCUCGACAACCGUUGCUACGAUGGACUUCCCACUGGAUGUGUGCAUAUUUCUGGGAGGCCAAGAAAUAACAGUGUCAAGCAGCUCAAGCUGCAACAUUGGCCUGUCCAAACAAGCACGUCUCGAACGGACACUGCACUGGGUUGCCGCUGCUGUGGUUAAUGACUUGAAGAUGCUUCUUGAAAUUGACAGAUCCUUCAACAAGCACUCAAAGAAUCGUACGUCUUCUCAAGUGUUUCAAAGAAUGAACAAUUCAAGUGUCUGUAUAAAUCAGCCCCCUGCAUGGACCAAGUGAAUCUUGAGAAAUCUUGCAUAGUCCAAGUGCACAAUUCCUUUCUCUGCAUCACUUUCUAACAAAAUAGACAUAAUAACUUAAUGUCAAGAAUGAGACAGGGACUGCUUUGACAUAUCUUCCUGCAAUUGCUCUGUUAAAGGUGCCCAAAGUAUCCAAGAAAUGACAAACGGCUGUGGGGAGAAAGCAUUUUCUAAUUCAAUCAAUGUUCAAUCAAAAAGCGUUACUGAACCCCCUGUUACAGAUUAAAUUACUCAACAUGUUAUCCCCAUGGCUUAAUGACAGAUUUUUGAUACUUUGUUAGUACCGCAGUAGCAUUAUAAUGAGCAAAGUUGUUUAUGAAAUUUGCCACACACACUGUGGCGUUAAGGUGUCCGAGAAGCGUAACCCUCUCUCUCGGAGGCAGACAUAAAGACCAACCGGUUGCCAAACGGUGCUCAACACAUCCACACACACCUUGGCGUUAUACUAUGAAUGUCAGCGAAGCUAAACUCAUUGUGGACAGAUGUAAAUUACUUCUCGUAUUUGAACAAUAAUUUUGCCCUCUGUACAAAAUACAAUCAUUAAUUCCAAAAGUCCCAUAAUGAAUGGUUAUUUUAUAAUUUUGUG
ensembl:lncRNA